CCUUAGUCUAAAGCAUCAUAAAUGUCUUAUAUAAUUAUUUUGUGCAAGCAAUUUCUUCACUCACUAGAAAGUGGAGACGUGGAGAUAAAAUUACUUUAGAACUGCCCAUAGGUCUCAGAACAAAGGCUAUUCCAGGCAUCUUCUUAGCUCGAUCCUCUGAAAGUUUUCUGGUAAACAUGUAUUUUCUAUCUCGUGAUCGAGAAUCUAUUUGAUGACGUGUUUUCUCGUACUUCAGAUGACCGGUCCGAAUACGCUUCUGUUAAGGCAAUAUUAUAUGGUCCCUACCUUCUUGCUGGUCUUUCCAAUAGUGAUUGGGACAUUAAAACAGGAUCAUCAGCUUCUUUUUCCGAUUGGAUUAGGCCGGUUCCAUCUAAAUACAAUUUUCAUUUAAUAUCCAUUGCACAAGAAUUCAAUAUCGAAACAUUUGUCGUCUCAAACUCCAACCAUUCAAUCAUAACGGAGAACUUUCGCUCAGCAGGAACUGAUUCUGCAGUCAAUGCAACUUUUCGACUCAACAUAAACCAUGCUAAUGGUGAAAAUAUUGCAGAGCCAAAACAUGCUAUUGGGAAUUCAGUCAUGCUAGAUCCAUUCAACCUUCCAGGCAUGGUUGUUAUGCAUCAAGGAGUUAAUAAAACUCUCUGAGACGCAGAUUCUUCAGAGUCUGAUUUUUCUACUUUUCGCUUGAUUCACGGGCUGGACAAGAAAAGUGGAUCCGUUUCCUUGGAAUCUGAGGAUCAAAAAGGCUGCUUCAUUUACAGUGGAGUGCACUAUGAAUCUGGUACAGGCAUUGAGCUUGGUUGCAAUCCAUGAUCAUCAGAUACAUGAUUUAAACGCGCAGCGAGUUUCAAGUUUAGGAAAGGAUUCAGCGAGUAUCAUCCUAUAAGAUUUAUGGCAAAAUGGACAAAGAGGAAUUCUCUUUUGGCUCCAUCACUUCGCUUAAGAGAUGAAUCUUACAAUGUGUUCUUUAACUUUCAGGCAUAAUGUUCUAAGCCAC
rnacentral:lncRNA from 1 species